GGGGUUGGAGUUUGGAGGGGCAGUAAAUAAGCUAUGACAGGCACAUUAGGAUGAAAUAUAAAUAAGGUGACAUGACAGAUGAAAUGGUUCAAGGGUAUAAUCUGAUGCUUUGGGGUUGACUUGCAGGGACAUUCACGAGGUCAGAG